GGAGAAGGUGAAGGAGAGGAUGAAGGAGAAGAAGAGGAAGCUGAAGGGGCAAGUGCCGAAGAGUCACAACAACCAGAAGAAGCAGCAGAAGGUGGAGGAGAAGCACCAGCGGAGGAAUAAAGACCGGAUUUCCAACAAAACAUCGCAACAACCGCUGUGACAAGAAGGGAGGGAGCAGCUCCAUCAUUAGAACAGAAAUGUGAUAAAAACUGAUUUGUUUACACGUACACUUGAUUACGAGUUACCAGCUUGUCGUAAUAGGAUGAUAGUACAGGCAACAACAACAUCUUGUGUGUAUACAUCAAAGGGUAUGUCACAGCGAUGUCCGUAUUGUUUAGCUAAGUCUCAAUGAUAAAGUCUGUAUUGUUUAGUCUGGUCUCAAAGAUAAAGUCUGUAUUGUUUAGUCUCAAUGAUAAACUCUGUAUUGUUUAGCUUGGUCUCAAUGAUAAAGUCUGUAUUGCUUAGCUAGGUCUCAAUGAUAAAGUCUGUAUUGCUUAGCUAGGUCUCAAUGAUAAAUGCUUUAUAGUUUAGCUAGGUCUGAGUGGUGGAGUGCGUAGUCUGUCAUUGGAAUACAUAAAUGCCGCAAUCAGUGUCAAAGCCGCAUUAAACUUUAGAAAGUGUGACAAGUAAACCUCGAUGUGGAUAAAAGAAAGUUUUUUACAUAGGGUUGUAAGCAAAACAAAGUAAUCCACAAAAGUAUGCCGUUUGUGAAAACUGUGAUAUUUGUCAAAAAUCUACAAGCGUACCGCUCUGGCUGUAAUCAUAGGGAGGUAAACAUAUCUCCUCUAGAAAUGUGAGACAAUAUUCUCACUCCCUGUUUAUCAUUUGUGCUGCUGUACUAAUGCACUCCUUCAUCAGAAAUACUUGUAUAACUUAAGUUUAUGCUAACAUAUGUAUUAACUAAAGGUACACUGUUCACACACGUGGCUUACUAUCUAUAUCUAUCCAUACACUAUAUUGUUGAUCAACUCCUGUCAUGCAGUUUAAAAAUGACUUCUGUAUACCACACGGCAGGCCUCUGUCAGAGAGCUCCAGAGUGUUUGAUAUUAAAGUAUACAGAAAGUCCACAAAUA